rnacentral:rRNA from 1 species
GGUCAGAACGAACGCUGGCGGCAGGCCUAACACAUGCAAGUCGAGCGGUAGCACAGGGAGCUUGCUCCUGGGUGACGAGCGGCGGACGGGUGAGUAAUGUCUGGGAAACUGCCUGAUGGAGGGGGAUAACUACUGGAAACGGUAGCUAAUACCGCAUAACGUCUACGGACCAAAGUGGGGGACCUUCGGGCCUCAUGCCAUCAGAUGUGCCCAGAUGGGAUUAGCUAGUAGGUGGGGUAAUGGCUCACCUAGGCGACGAUCCCUAGCUGGUCUGAGAGGAUGACCAGCCACACUGGAACUGAGACACGGUCCAGACUCCUACGGGAGGCAGCAGUGGGGAAUAUUGCACAAUGGGCGCAAGCCUGAUGCAGCCAUGCCGCGUGUGUGAAGAAGGCCUUCGGCUUGUAAAGCACUUUCAGCGAGGAGGAAGGGUUCAGUGUUUAUAGCACUGUGCAUUGACGUUACUCGCAGAAGAAACACCGUCUAAAUCCGUGCCAGCAUCCGCGUAAAUACUGAGGGUGCAAGCGAUUAAUCUUAACUACUGAGCGGUAAGCCACACCUCUGCCGUUUGUUAAGUUAUAGGCUAUCUCCCCUCGCUUUAACGUGCCAAUCUCUUUUUGUAACCUUGACACCCUACUUGUUUAUAUAACCUGACUUUCUUCUCCACCUGCUACUCUCACAUCUCCGCCUCUAUCACUCUAACCAUACAUAUCCUCCUAACGGGGCGAUUCCGGUUAUCGUAGUCGGAAAACCCGGGACCAACAGGUUUGUUACCUGUAGUCCACCCUUUAACGAUUGGCUUGGAGGUUUGCCCUGAAAGGUGGCUUCGGAGGUAACGCGUAAGUCGACCGCUGGGGAGUACGGCGCAAAGUUAAAACUAAAUGAAUUGACGGGGGCCGCACAAGCGGUGGAGCAUGUGGUUUAAUUCGAUGCAACGGGAAGAACCUUACUUACUCUUGACAUCCAGAGAAUUCGCUAGAGAUAGCUUAGUGCCUUCGGGAACUCUGAGACAGGUGCUGCAUGGCUGUCGUCAGCUCGUGUUGUGAAAUGUUGGGUUAAGUCCCGCAACGAGCGCAACCCUUAUCCUUUGUUGCCAGCACGUAAUGGUGGGAACUCAAAGGAGACUGCCGGUGAUAAACCGGAGGAAGGUGGGGAUGACGUCAAGUCAUCAUGGCCCUUACGAGUAGGGCUACACACGUGCUACAAUGGCGUAUACAAAGAGAAGCGAACUCGCGAGAGCAAGCGGACCUCAUAAAGUACGUCGUAGUCCGGAUCGGAGUCUGCAACUCGACUCCGUGAAGUCGGAAUCGCUAGUAAUCGUAGAUCAGAAUGCUACGGUGAAUACGUUCCCGGGCCUUGUACACACCGCCCGUCACACCAUGGGAGUGGGUUGCAAAAGAAGUAGGUAGCUUAACCUUCGGGAGGGCGCUUACCACUUUGUGAUUCAUGACUGGGGUGAAGUCGUAACAAGGUAGCCGUAGG